UACGGGGGGGCAAGCGUUGUUCGGAAUUACUGGGCGUAAAGGGCUCGUAGGUGGCCAACUAAGUCAGACGUGAAAUCCCCAGGCUCAACUUGGGAACUGCGUCUGAUACUGGAUGGCUUGAAUUCGGGAGAGGGAUGCAGAAUUCCAGGUGUAGCGGUGAAAUGCGUAGAUAUCUGGAGGAACACCGGUGGCGAAGGCGGCAUCCUGGACCAAUUCUGACGCUGAGGAGCGAAAGCAUGGGUAGCGAACAGG
rnacentral:rRNA from 1 species